CACUGUUCAUCGGCUUAUGAACAGUGACGGCUCGAGCCGAGUCGGUUAUGGGUCAAAAGACCGUGUUGUCCCUGCUUCAUCUCUCUUGCCCGACACCUGUGUAUCGUUUCAAAGCUUUCGUGUCUUUGUUCUUCGCUUCACACAGUUUGUGUUUCUCUUGCUUUGACAUCUGGGCUGCUGCUCAGUGCUAUCGUGUCUAUGAUAGCUCACUCGACCGAGAGGUAGAUAGACAGAGAGCUUCAGUUUGAGAGAGAAAUAGCGCGAGAGAGAGCUCCAGACUGUGUUCUAUCUAUCUAGGGACAGAGAGAGAGUUUCAGACUGAAGAAGAGGGAGACGGGAAGAAGUUGAUGGUCGAUUUGAACAGAAAUUGAGUGAACUGAUCAUCCCACGUAUUCUACGAUGGGUUCGAAUUUGUUUGGUUUUCUAUUUUGUUGGUUUCUCAGUGUUUCUAUCAUCAUACAUCACCGUUUUGGGUUUUUCCUGUUCAACAACCGAUCUAGGUAGUUUUCAAUUAACGUGGGUUUGGAUUUUGUGGUUUUCUUUUUAACAAAAGUAAGAGAAGAGUUGGCUUUCUUUUCUUGGUAGGAUUUGGAUGUUCUUCGGUUAUACGGUGGCUUCCUCGAUUUCAUGCGGUUUAGCUUUGUUUCGUAGCCUGGGUUUUAAAUUUUCAAUGGUCUGACUGUUUCUCUUUCUUGCUUUGUUUCUUUUUGUUUUGUAUACAGUGCUUUGCAUUUUGAGAAUGUCGAGUUUAUGACGAGAAGAUGAGGUUUUGGUGAUGGAGGAGUUUUUGGGUUGUUGGCUUAACUUCGAGGCUGCGGUGUGUUCAGAAAGGCAGGGGAGCUGCUGUUUCUGAUCUUUGAGUUGGGUUUUGAUGAGGAAGCAGAACAUGAAUUUGGUGGUUUGACGUUGUUCUGCAUCUGCUUGGGAAGAGUUCGUCUUUGAGUUUUGGAUAAUAGGAUUUCGAAUAGUGACAAGCAGAGAGGAUAUUUAGUUUUUGGGGUUGCUGCUGGGUUCUGAAGACAAGUGGCUCAAACGUAUUGUAGGUUUUAAUGUCGGACGUUAAACUAAUAGCCGAAACAUUCGGAUUUUAAAAUUAAAGCAAAGUUGAACCCUUUAUUGUUAGGUUUUAAUGGAAACUCACGCCCUUUGAGGUGCAUAUCAGACAAAAGCAAUUUGAUCACAAUCAUAAAAGCAAAGUUAAUCUACAUCUACCAUUCACUCCAAAAUUGCUGCAACUAAAAAGUAGUAAUGCCCUUGGUUUUAAUUUCUUUUUAGUUUAGGGGCUGUUCCUUUUUUGUGUUCUAUAGAGAUUAGAGACCUGAUAUUCUUAUUUGUUAGCCUUUGUCUUUUGUUAGUUCUGUUUCUGUUGAACCUUUUUUAUCUGUUGUGGAAAUUGCAGUGCAGCUGUUUCAUGAUGCAUGGAAAUUUGGUUUUGAAACUGAAAGUUCAGUUUUUUCUGUUUUUGUUUUUAUGCAAAAACCUUUCUAUUGUUGCAGCCAUAAGCAUUAGAGGUAUUCUCGAGCAAGAAAUAGUAAAGGUUGCAGCUAUGAUCCUCCAUAUGACCUUAAACAGGGCUUACUGAAGAUGUUAUUUGAGGAGAUGAAUUCUUGGUUUCAGACUUGGCAUCUCAUUACUCAUUUGCAAACUCCUAGCAAGCACAAAAAGUUUUAUCUUUCUCAGGCAAGU